GGAUCAAAGAUGAGAAUUCAUAUUGUCUUCUAGAGAAGUGAUGACCUAAAAAUUAUGCUCAGAAAUUUUGCACUGAAGCCC
ensembl:snoRNA SNORD115 Small nucleolar RNA SNORD115